GAUUGAUUUGUUUUAAUAUGUAAUAUGUAAUAUAAGUAGGUGGUUUUUAAAAAAAAUACUGUCGCCAGUAACAAUUUCAACAAUUAAAACAUUAGCAUAUUUAACACUGGAGCAAUAUUUAAAAUCCGGAAGCGCUUCCACACUGGCAAGUCGUUCCAAACUCUGAAUGCUACAAAUACGCAGCACUCUUGCCUUAUCUCCAUAGGGCGCGACUAUAGCAAGGAAGUGUUCUAGCAAGGCUGCAGCCUUCACUUUGGGAAAACAGCCACAGCCUAUUCACCUUAUUACGUAACGCCCCAUGUCCAUGCUUGAUUUCCGUGCGGCUUUCCAUCAGCUGUAAAGUGUGGACGGUCCUGCCCCACGUGGGUCAUCCUACCCAUGUGGGCUUGGCCUGGGCGCUGACGUCACACGCACAGAGAAAAGACCCAAAGCGCUCCGAGCAGCGAGCGAGCGCUCAGUGCAGUCUGGCUCAGACCCCGGACAGUGGCUCUGUGUUGCGUAUAAUAUUAUAUGUCUUGUCGUUUUAAAAGCGUAAAAAGAAUGCUCAGCUAAUCAUAGCAAUCGUUUGUUUUAUUGUAUUCUGCAGGACGUUAAGUGUUGGUAUUUAGUUAGCGGUCAUCGAAACUGACGGUUGGACGCGGACAUGAAUGACAUCAAACUGGCCGUGCUGGGCAGCGAGGGAGUGGGGAAAUCAGCUCUCAUCGUUCGGUUCCUCACGCGGAGGUUCAUCAGGGAGUACGCCUUGUUGACCGGCGAGCUGUGAGCCCACGGAGCGC
ensembl:lncRNA